rnacentral:rRNA from 2 species
UAGGGAAUUUUCGGCAAUGGGGGCAACCCUGACCGAGCAAUGCCGCGUGAAUGAUGAAGGUCUUCGGAUCGUAAAGUUCUGUUAUCAGGAAAGAACAUCAUAGAGAGUGGAAAGCUCUAUGACUGACGGUACCUGAUCAGAAAGCCCCGGCUAACUAUGUGCCAGCAGCCGCGGUAAUACAUAGGGGGCGAGCGUUAUCCGGAAUUAUUGGGCGUAAAGCGUGCGUAGGCGGUUGCUUAAGUCUGGUGUAAAAACCCAAAGCUUAACUUUGGGAGGUCACUGGAAACUGGGCAACUUGAGUAUGGUAGAGGUAAGUGGAAUUCCAAGUGGAGCGGUGGAAUGCGUAGAGAUUUGGAGGAACACCAGUGGCGAAGGCGGCUUACUGGGCCAUUACUGACGCUCAGGCACGAAAGCGUGGGGAGCAAACAGG